UUCGGAGGGCAAUCCGCUACCUUGACAGGGUAGAGGUCGUUGGUUCGAGCCCAAUACGGAUCACCA
rnacentral:tRNA from 1 species